GAUUUCUGGCUUGAAACAUUUUGCCGGCCACGGUUUCGUGUGUUAGUGCUUGAUGUUCUGGCCAUCCUUCCAAUCGCCGCUGGUUGGUCUUCAUUGAUCGAUCACGUGGUAUUGGAUCUUUUACUUUGAAAAAAUUAGAGUGUUUCAAGCAGGCUUUAUGCUAUGAAUACAUUAGCAUGGAAUAAUAAUUUAGGACUUCGGUUCUAUUUUGUUGGUUUCUAGGACUGAAGUAAUGAUUGAUAGGGAUAGUUGGGGGUGCUAGUAUUCAGCGGCCAGAGGUGAAAUUCUCGGAUUCGCUGAAGACUAACUUAUGCGAAAGCAUU
rnacentral:rRNA from 1 species